AACUUUCAACAACGGAUCUCUUGGUUCUCGCAUCGAUGAAGAACGCAGCGAAAUGCGAUACGUAAUAUGAAUUGCAGAUUUUCGCGAAUCAUCGAAUCUUUGAACGCACAUUGCGCCCUGUGGUAUUCCACAGGGCAUGCCUGUUUGAGCGUCAUUUC
rnacentral:rRNA from 1 species